rnacentral:rRNA from 1 species
UGGGUUAAGUCCCGCAACGAGCGCAACCCCUGCCCAUAGUUGCCAGCGGGUCGCCCACGUAGGUGGGCGAUGCUGGGGACUCUAUGGGGACUGCCGGCGAGGARCCGGAGGAAGRAGGGGACGACGUCAAGUCCGUGUGGCCCUUAUGUCCGGGGCUACACACGCGCUACAAUGGGCGGUACAGAGGGAAGCGACCCCGCGAGGGGGAGCAAAUCCCUAAAACCGCCCCCAGUUCGGAUUGCAGGCUGAAACCCGCCUGCAUGAAGGAGGAGUCGCUAGUAAUCACCUAUCAGCUAUGGGGUGGUGAAUACGUUCCCGGGCUCUGUACUCACCGCCCGUCACGCCAUGGGAGCCGGGGGUGCCUGAAGCCC